UAGUUGGUUGUCGUCAGCUCGUGCCGUGAGGUGUCGGGUUAAGUCCCAUAACGAGCGCAACCCUUAUCGUUAGUUGCCAGCUGGUAAAGCAGGGGACUCUAGCGAAACUGCCACCGUAAGGUGAGAGGAAGGUGGGAUGACGUCAAAUCAGCACGGCCCUUAUGUCCAGGGCUACACACGUGUUACAAUGGCCGGCACAGAGGGCAGCUACCGGGUGACAGGAUGCUAAUCUCGAAAACCGGUCUCAGUUCGGAUCGAAGUCUGCAACUCGACUUCGUGAAGCUGGAUUCGCUAGUAAUCGCGCAUCAGCCAUGGCCGCGGUCGAAUACGUUCCCGGGCCUU
rnacentral:rRNA from 1 species